AUGACUUCCCUCAACUGUGAGCAGGUUGGCAAUGUUCGCAAGAAUAUAUUCCCUGCGUACAAGACUCUUGGUGUGGUUUUUGGUGGCCUCGUUACUUCUCCCCUCUAUGUUUAUCCCUCAAUGAACUUGUCAUCUCCUACAGAGGCUGACUACCUGGGAAUAUACAGCAUAAUGUUUUGGACUCUUACUUUAAUUGGUGUGGUCAAGUAUGUAGGCAUAGCUCUCAAUGCUGAUGACCAUGGUGAAGGUGGUACAUUUGCAAUGUAUUCUGUGUUGUGUAGGCAUGCCGAUAUAGGCAUCCUUCCUUCCAAGAGAGGGUAUUCAGAAGAAGAACCAUUGCUUCAUGAGCAGUCAGCAACAGCUAUAAGGUCUAGUAAGCUGGGCAAGUUCUUUGAGCGAAGCAUAACUGCAAGAAGGGUAUUGUUAUUCAUGGCAAUUCUUGGGAUGUGCAUGCUCAUUGGAGAUGGAAUCCUAACUCCUGCUAUUUUAGUGUUAUCAGCAAUUGAUGGACUAAGAGGACCAUUUCCUUCUGUUAGUAAACCUGUUGUGGAAGCUCUAUCUGCAGCAAUUCUUAUUGGUGUAUUCUUGCUGCAAAAGUAUGGGACUUCAAAAGUGAGCUUUCUGUUUUCUCCAAUCAUGGCAGCAUGGACUUUCAACACUCCAAUCGUUGGAAUAUACAGCAUUAUUCGUUACUACCCAGGCAUCUUCAAAGCCAUUUCGCCACAUUAUAUUGUCCAUUUCUUCCUAAGAAAUAAAAAACAAGGGUGGCAGCUGCUUGGUGGGACCGUUCUAUGUAUCACAGGUGCAGAAGCUAUGUUUGCAGAUCUUGGCCACUUCAGCAAAAAAGCUAUUCAGAUAGCAUUUCUAUCCAGCAUAUAUCCUUCUCUGGUCCUCACUUAUGUCGGGAAAACAGCAUACCUUAUUAACAAUGUCAAUGACUUCAGUGAUGGAUUCUACAAAUUUAUCCCUCGGCCAGUUUACUGGCCGAUGUUUGUCAUUGCAACACUGGCAGCAAUUGUUGCAAGCAAAUCCUUAAUCUCGGCAACAUUUUCUGUCAUCAAGCAAUCAGUUGUCCUGGACUACUUUCCACGUGUUAAAGUGGUGCACACAUCAGAUCAAAAGGAAGGGGAGGUUUACUCACCAAAAAAUUACAUUCUGAUGGUACUAUGUGUUGGUGUUAUACUAGGCUUUGGAUGUGGAAAGGAGAUAGGGAAUGCUUUUGGUGUUGUUAUCAUCAUGGUCAUGCUCAUAACUACAAUCAUGCUCACUCUUGUGAUGAUCAUCAUAUGGAGAACACCACCUGUUUUUGUCAGGAUGUUUUUCAUUCCAUUCGUCAUUAUGGAAGGGUCCUAUGUCAGUGCCGUUUUCACCAAGAUCCCUGAAGGUGGUUGGCUUCCUUUUGCAGUUUCCAUGAUCCUUGCGUUGAUCAUGUUCGUCUGGUACUAUGGUAGGCAAAGAAAAAUAGAGUAUGAAAUGGCGAACAAGAUAACCCUGGAGCGCCUUGGUGAGCUCUUGGCAAUGCCUGAGGUCCAGAGGGUCCCGGGCUUGUGCUUCUUCUACAACAACAUACAGGACGGGCUAACUCCUAUACUUGGCCAUUACAUCAAGAACAUGAGCUCACUACAUACGGUCACAAUUUUUGUGACCCUGAGGUACCUGCUGGUUUCCAAAGUUGAUCAACGGGAAAGGAUUCUGAUCAAGAGGCUCAGACCUAGAGGGGUGUACCAAUGCACAAUCCAGUAUGGCUACGUAACAAACCUGAGCCUCAAAGGGGGCGAAGAUCUUGUCACACAGGUCAUGAGAUGCCUGAAGCAGCACAUUGCGAUGAGCACCGACCGACGAUCAUCUGUUUCCACUGAGGAAGAGAUUGCCAACUUGGAGGCGGCAAGUUCAGCCGAGGUGGUGCAUGUCCGGGGCAAGAUGAGGUUCUAUGUGGGUGAUAAUGCCAGCUGUUUUGACAAGGUCAUGCUCCGAUUCUACGAGUUCUUGCAUAGCAUCUGCAGAUCGGCACUGCCGACUCUGGGGAUGCCUCUGUAG
rnacentral:rRNA from 1 species